AGAUUAAUUGAUUGGAGUGAACAAUAUGUCUCAAUGGGCAACAAAGAAAUCUUGAUCAAGGCAGUAGCGCAAGCAAUACCUACAUAUGUUAUGAGUGUAUUUCGGCUACCGGCCUCUGUGUGUGAUGACUUAACACGUAUGAUGAGACAGUAUUGGUGGGGAGUAGAGAAUGGAAAGAGGAAAAUGGCCUGGCUCAGCUGGGAGAAAAUGAUCUUACCCAAGGAUAUGGGGGGCAUGGGUUUUAGAGAUAUGAGGGCGUUUAACCGGGCGCUUCUUGCAAAACAAGCCUGGAGGUUGCUUGAAAGUCCUGAU
rnacentral:rRNA from 1 species